GUUGUGACCAGCCAGAGAAGAUGGGAAUUACAGAAGUAGAGUUAGGAAAAACAAGUCCCAAAUGGCUGUUCUCUCCAAUAUGUAAAGGAAGGAAGAUGGCAGGCCUAAUUUACCAUCUCAGAAAUGAUUAGAAGAGCAAGCAUGAAAACUCCAGAUACCGCCUUCUAUGAAAUUGAUAUGUUUUGAACCACAGGAACAAUAAGGGUUGAAAAUCAGUGUUACAAGACAUUGAAAAGAUACUCAUUGCUGCUGAUAUCAGAUAAUUCUAGUAGAGAACCCUUCUCUAGGAAAUUGGCACACUUGCAGGCUAACAAUUCUUUGUUUAGAACAAAUAAAAUCAUUGCAAAUGCUGACAAUAGGAAUCUCCCCAAAACCAAUGGAGAAGUCACAUUUGUAGAAAGAGGAAAGUAGCUGAAGCUCAGUGAAGAAAACCAUCCUGUGGGCAUACCUAUGACUUUCAAGUUCUGUGGGUAGUGAAGAGUGACAUCAGAAAUAUCCUCUCUUUCUCUCUAUCCCACACAUACACACAGCACCAUACACACACACACACAAUACACACCUGUUUCACAAGAAGUUCUCGCAAGCCAGAAACUUGGCUCUAUUUUCUUAGUCCUAGAAGAACCUAGAGAAAGGAAAGCAAUAAUUACAAAGAAACCAAGGAAAAUAUAUGCUCCAUAAUGAAAAGAGAAAGGAAACAGGAAAGGGUGAUGGCAA